GGAUUUAUCAAAUAAUCAUCUAUCUGAGCUUCAUCCUAAACAGCUGUCUGGGUUUGUGAAUUUGCAGAAGUUGUAUCUACAAGGAAAUAAUAUCAGGAGCAUCCACAAAGACUUUUUAUCUGAAUGCAGAAGAACAUUAAGGGUCCUGGACCUCAGUAACAAUUCAAUUACCACCUUGGAUGCUCAGAUAUUUCAAGCUUUGCCCAAUUUGCAGUUAGUGUAA